AGUUUUUUAUUUUAUAAAGAAUAAUAAAUUGCAAGUUUAUAGGAGGCAUAUGUCUUAAACUU
rnacentral:tRNA from 1 species